rnacentral:lncRNA from 1 species
UAAUUUUUCCGUUAUUUUGACUAAUGUAAGGUUACUUCCGAGCAUAUUAUACCUACCAUGAAAGUAUUCUUUCGUAAUAUCAGUCGGAUGUUUUCAGGAUGAACAAUCUUGUUUCAGCACGUUUGUACUUCAAUAGUACGCUUUGGUGCAUUAAUUCUUGUAUCAUUUUUUAUUUUUUAUAGAAAUCCAUCGUUCCUUGCUUAUAGUUAACUUUUUCGUAUUUCUAGCUUAAAAUUUAUUUGCCACGCUGGUUUCGUGUUUCUAUUUUUUUAUUAUGUACUGCACUGUUGUUCGGCUUCUAUUACUUCUAAACAUUCACGUUUAAUGAUGACGUCUACACUAUUUGCAGUUAUAAUAAAGCACUUUUACUUACUAACUACAAAACAAAUACAUGAAAUAGUAUCGACUGAGCCUCUUUUGCUUAGGGGAAUUCCCCGAUAUCCCGAUUAUGACGAUGUUUGUUAGUAUUAGAAUUAACAAAUACUCUAAUUUUUUAAAUUUGGUGUAGUUGAGAUAACUUUUUUUUAAUUCCUUUUCAUAUUAUUUACAUUAAAAGCUGUGUUUCAGUAUCGAGUUUGAUUAACAUCAAAAUAAAGGAAUAAGAAUAACGACAGUGUUAAUAAAACAUAAAACAAUUGUAUGGUACGUUUAGUACAAGAAAAGUAUGACUCAUAAUAAUUACAUCAUUAUUAAGUGCUAUUACUAUUGAAAGCCAUGUACGC